rnacentral:rRNA from 1 species
AAAUUGAAGAGUUUGAUCAUGGCUCAGAUUGAACGCUGGCGGCAGGCCUAACACAUGCAAGUCGAACGGUAACAGGAAACAGCUUGCUGUUUCGCUGACGAGUGGCGGACGGGUGAGUAAUGUCUGGGAAACUGCCUGAUGGAGGGGGAUAACUACUGGAAACGGUAGCUAAUACCGCAUAACGUCGCAAGACCAAAGAGGGGGACCUUCGGGCCUCUUGCCAUCAGAUGUGCCCAGAUGGGAUUAGCUAGUAGGUGGGGUAACGGCUCACC